GGUAAAGAUGCUCGAUAUAGCAUCGAAUUGAGAAUGGCAGUUGAAACUGUCAUCACUGUUUCACUAGUGAGGAUUCUCGGAUUAGAGAGAAACAAAGCGAGGAUUUUUUUGUUGUCCGAUUGAUAUGGAUAUCGUGAAACAUCGUUCGACCCAGAAAUUACGCGAUACGAUUUUUUUUCUUACCUAGAAAUUUGAAUUACGAAGGAACACAGGUGAAAGAGGUUAUGUAACUUGCUGUGGUCGUGUUUAGCUGCAUCGUCUGGCAAAACUAGCCUUUGUCCAUCAAGAUUAUCCAACGAACGAUCGAGAUAGCCACGGAACUCUUACACGUUUCAACUACUUACACGAAGGCAAAGGUCAGAUUGUCAAUUAAUUGUGAUAAUCCGUGAAAAAAGGUGAUACGAAAGAAAAAUCAAAAUAUAUAAAUGGCUAAUUGUCGGUAAAAUAGUUACCGAAUUCUCUAACUCUAAGUAAUUAAUUUAUUAUCACGGAUAGAUUUGUCUUCUGUCGAUUAAUUUAUUAUUAGAUAUCUAAUAAUUCAUUUAUCACUAUCUACGUUCGAAGCAGUUAAUUCUCGUCGAUCGUUAAUUAUUGCAAAGAUAUCUUCUGGGAGCUAUAAAUGUGUCAAUUACUUUGAUCGAUCUUACUAUAAUUCCGGUGUAAAUUAAACCGAAGCUAAGAGGAAAUAUCGUUAUCAAAGCAAAAAGAGAAACGAGAAUAAGAUGAUAAUGCUCGAUAAUAAAAAACGGUUAAAACUAUAUAAAGUUUCAAAAAAUAUUCAGAUUAAUAAACGAGAAACAAGGUCGAUAAGAUUGGACAUCGGUUUACGAUCGUGCACCUACCGUGCAUCCAUGUCUUUCCAACAGGCUGAUUUAUGCGUUGGUUAAACCUCUUUCGAGGAUCAUACUGGGGGCUUCUGAUGAUGACUGAAACUCGGUUUAUGCUCGCUUCGAUCAACUUCGAUCAACUCUAUAUAAUUCAUAUCUGCAUCUUCGUUUUAACAAGGGAAAUUGGAUAAACCAAUGGAAUGCGAUUACUUCACGAAUGACAAUCAAAGGAAGGCGUUUCAUUUCUUUUUUUUUAAAACUUCUGGUUCCCAAGUUUUGAAAAGUUAAAAGAUUUUCUAUUUUUACAUUCGAAUCAAUAGAAUACAAUAAUUCGAUCAGAAAAAGA